CAGUGUUACAACUCUUUUAGAAUUUGUCUAGCAGGUCUUCCGGUCUCUACUGGGAGUUCCCAC
rnacentral:snRNA from 2 species